rnacentral:lncRNA from 1 species
AUGUUUUCAGGUAGAGAAAAUGAUUGGUAUUCGGUAAACCCAGUGUUCACUAAACUGAAGCCUCUUCUGUUGCCAGCCUUUCUGCAUGGAAAACAAGGACAAUAUUCAAUGACAGACCACUUCCAAAGGAAGAGAACAUCCAACUGGCUUUCUCCUUCUUGCAAAAGCAAGAGGAAGACUAGAACUCCUUCCAGCACAUGCAGAUCUCCAGGCAAAUGGGACUUGAUGCUUGAAGAGGUCUUUGACUUGGAAACCUUUUGCAGCUAUUGUACUGCAAGCGUUCAUGUUCAUACACAUGAAUAGGUGCUUUAUUUUCUGAAUGUAUUUUAAAGGAUGGCGUUUUCUCAGAAUUCGAUGUCAUCACCCC